rnacentral:rRNA from 1 species
UAAUACGGAGGGUGCAAGCGUUAUCCGGAUUUAUUGGGUUUAAAGGGUCCGUAGGCGGACUUGUAAGUCAGUGGUGAAAUCUCAUAGCUUAACUAUGAAACUGCCAUUGAUACUGCAGGUCUUGAGUAAAUUUGAAGUGGCUGGAAUAAGUAGUGUAGCGGUGAAAUGCAUAGAUAUUACUUAGAACACCAAUUGCGAAGGCAGGUCACUAAGAUUUAACUGACGCUGAUGGACGAAAGCGUGGGGAGCGAACAGGAUUAGAUACCCUGGUAGUCCACGCCGUAAACGAUGCUAACUCGUUUUUGGAUUUUCGGAUUCAGAGACCAAGCGAAAGUGAUAAGUUAGCCACCUGGGGAGUACGUCCGCAAGGAUG